rnacentral:rRNA from 1 species
AUUGAACGCUGGCGGCAGGCCUAACACAUGCAAGUCGAGCGGUAGAGAGGUGCUUGCAUCUCUUGAGAGCGGCGGACGGGUGAGUAAUGCCUAGGAAUCUGCCUGGUGGUGGGGGAUAACGUUCGGAAACGGACGCUAAUACCGCAUACGUCCUACGGGAGAAAGCGGGGGAUCUUCGGACCUCGCGCCAUUAGAUGAGCCUAGGUCGGAUUAGCUAGUUGGUGAGGUAAUGGCUCACCAAGGCGACGAUCCGUAACUGGUCUGAGAGGAUGAUCAGUCACACUGGAACUGAGACACGGUCCAGACUCCUACGGGAGGCAGCAGUGGGGAAUAUUGGACAAUGGGCGAAAGCCUGAUCCAGCCAUGCCGCGUGUGUGAAGAAGGUCUUCGGAUUGUAAAGCACUUUAAGUU